rnacentral:tRNA from 1 species
ACCUGGGUGGCUCAGUCGGUUGAGCGUCUGACUUCAGCUCAGGUCAUGAUCUCACGGUUUGUGGGUUCGAGCCCCGCAUCAGGCU